UCAGCAGCCGCGGUAAUACGUAGGGUGCGAGCGUUGUCCGGAAUUACUGGGCGUAAAGAGCUCGUAGGCGGUUUGUCGCGUCGUCUGUGAAAUUCUGCAGCUUAACUGCAGGCGUGCAGGCGAUACGGGCAGACUUGAGUACUACAGGGGAGACUGGAAUUCCUGGUGUAGCGGUGAAAUGCGCAGAUAUCAGGAGGAACACCGGUGGCGAAGGCGGGUCUCUGGGUAGUAACUGACGCUGAGGAGCGAAAGCGUGGGUAGCGAACAGGAUUAGAUACCCUGGUAGUCCACGCCGUAAACGGUGGGUACUAGGUGUGGGGCUCAUUUCACGAGUUCCGUGCCGUAGCUAACGCAUUAAGUACCCCGCCUGGGGAGUACGGCCGCAAGGCUAAAACUCAAAGGAAAUUGACGGA
rnacentral:rRNA from 1 species